rnacentral:rRNA from 1 species
UACGUAGGGGGCGAGCGUUGUCCGGAUUCAUUGGGCGUAAAGAGCUCGUAGGCGGCUUGGCAAGUCGGGUGUGAAAACUUCAGGCUCAACCUGGAGAUGCCACUCGAUACUGCUAUGGCUAGAGUCCGGUAGGGGACCACGGAAUUCCUGGUGUAGCGGUGAAAUGCGCAGAUAUCAGGAGGAACACCUAUGGCGAAGGCAGCACUCUGGGACGGUACUGACGCUGAGACGCGAAAGCGUGGGGAGCGAACAGG